rnacentral:rRNA from 1 species
GAGUAACGCGUAGGUAAUCUACCCUUAUAUCUGGGAUAACCGACCGAAAGGUUGGCUAAUACCGGAUACCCUUUAUGUAUCGCGAGUUAUAUAGAGGAAAGGUGACCUCUGAUCAAGUUACCGUAUAGGGAUGAGCCUGCGUACCAUUAGCUAGUUGGUGGGGUAAAGGCCUACCAAGGCUACGAUGGUUAGCGGGUCUGAGAGGAUGAUCCGCCACACUGGAACUGGAACACGGACCAG